rnacentral:rRNA from 14 species
AUGGCGGCUGUCGAUUCAUUGGUCCUAAGGUAGCAAAAUUCCUUGACAGGUAAGUUCCGUCCAGCAUGAGCGGUGAUACGACUUCCUCACUGUCACUAGCCUGGUCUCUCAUAAAUUGAGUCAUCCUUGA